GACGAACGCUGGCGGCGUGCCUAAUACAUGCAAGUUGAGCGAUGAAGAUUGGUGCUUGCACCAAUUUGAAGAGCAGCGAACGGGUGAGUAACGCGUGGGGAAUCUGCCUUUGAGCGGGGGACAACAUUUGGAAACGAAUGCUAAUACCGCAUAAUAACUUUAAACAUAAGUUUUAAGUUUGAAAGAUGCAAUUGCAUCACUCAAAGAUGAUCCCGCGCUGUAUUAGCUAGUUGGUGAGGUAAAGGCUCACCAAGGCGAUGAUACAUAGCCGACCUGAGAGGGUGAUCGGCCACAUUGGGACUGAGACACGGCCCAAACUCCUACGGGAGGCAGCAGUAGGGAAUCUUCGGCAAUGGACGAAAGUCUGACCGAGCAACGCCGCGUGAGUGAAGAAGGUUUUCGGAUCGUAAAACUCUGUUGGUAGAGAAGAACGUUGGUGAGAGUGGAAAGCUCAUCAAGUGACGGUAACUACCCAGAAAGGGACGGCUAACUACGUG
rnacentral:rRNA from 1 species